rnacentral:tRNA from 1 species
GGGGCUGUGGCGGAAUUGGUAGACGCACUGUCUUCAGGUGGCAGCGGCCACAAGCCGUGGGAGUUCGAGUCUCCCCAGCCCCACCA